GGAUAUGAGGGCAAUCUGGCUGCGACAUCGGUCACCCCAUUGAUCACCAGGGUUGAUUCGGCUGAUCUGGCUGGCUAGGCGGGUGUCCCCUUCGUCCCUUACAACUCCAUGUGCAUCCCCCCUGAGGCUGUGUGCCCAGUCAAAGAGGACCAUUAUCAGUAGAGGAGGACCGUUCUUCAGUCAAGGUUCCCCUGCUAGGACCUCCAAACCAACUCUCAGAAUAAGGGAAAGAAUAGCAGAACAGAAGUCAAUACAAUUAAAAACACAAAAUACAGAGGAUGAAACCAACAGCUAACUCCUUGAGAA
rnacentral:snRNA from 1 species